CAAUUGAGAAAUCAAAAAUUAGUUUUUCUUACUCCCUUCUUCUCCCUCACGCAACUUUCCGUUUUUCUCCAUGGAAGUCAAGCUUACUUUUCACUUGUCACCAACCUCGUUCAUCUCAAUUUGACUCAUCAAUUUCAUGACACUAAUCAGAAUUUCUAUGCCUUAGUCAUCAAUUCUGAAUUCCUCUUCACAUUUGUCAAUCAAUCAAGCUUCACAUUUGUCAAUAAAUGGAGCUUCAAUUGAGGUCAUCUCCUAUGUCAUCCAACACCAUUCAUCACUAUAAAUAUCAAGCCAAUUGAACCAGGAAAUAUCAAUUUUGAAUUAACCUUUAAUCAAGCUUUCACCACCAUUAAAAACAAUGGAGUUUUCACCAUUUCCAUUACCUUCGAUUAGACUUUAAACCACCACCACCAACUGACGCCUUCUUUUCUUGGCGGAAACCGCCACCAUUGACCACCCCCCGCACCCUUCCUCUCCGGCGUGAUUCUUCCGCCGCCCUGCCUAGAAACACCGACCACCUGACCACCUCCCCAGAUCACCCUAUUGGCGUUUCCUCCACCUCACGCAAGCCUCACCUCCCUUUUCUUGGCUCUGUUUCGUGUUUUAGUGUGAACUCAGGAGAUUGGAUUUGCUUCCAAUUCCAAUUGAAGUACGCUGCUCACGUUCUUUUGAAAAGCAAAAGUCAAACUUUUCCUUACAACCACUAAACAUUAGUGCUCGGAGCUCAGGAAAUACGGUCUAUCAUUACUACGAAUAAGGAGUAUACGGUUGAGGUACGAAGAAGAUCUUGGGAUGCCUUAGAGUGAGGAUGCAACCAUCAAAUUCAUGAUCGAUGUUUAGUAAAGAUAAUUAUGUAUCACUAGUAACAAUGGAUGAACUAAUUAAACUCUAAGUUAAAUUUCAAUUAUUGAGUUAGAUUUUUAUUAUUUA